UACGAAGGAUCCAAGCGUUAUCCGGAUUUAUUGGGUUUAAAGGGUGCGUAGGCGGCCCGUUAAGUCAGUGGUGAAAGCCUCCAGCUCAACUGGAGAACUGCCAUUGAUACUGGCGGGCUUGAGUACAGACGAGGUAGGCGGAAUUGAUUGUGUAGCGGUGAAAUGCAUAGAUACAAUCAAGAACACCGAUUGCGUAGGCAGCUUACUAGGCUGUAACUGACGCUGAGGCACGAAAGCGUGGGGAGCGAACAGG
rnacentral:rRNA from 1 species